rnacentral:rRNA from 1 species
UACGUAGGGUGCGAGCGUUAAUCGGAAUGACUGGGCGUAAAGCGUGCGUAGGCGGUUCGUUAAGUUCGUUGUGAAAGCCCCGGGCUCAACCUGGGAAUGGCAAUGGAAACUGGCGGGCUGGAGUAUGGCAGAGGGGGGUGGAAUUCCGCGUGUAGCAGUGAAAUGCGUAGAGAUCAGGAAGAACACCGGUGGCGAAAGCGCUCUGCUGGACCUUAACUGACACUGAGGGACGAAAGCUAGGGGAGCGAAUGGG